GACGAACGCUGGCGGCGUGCUUAACACAUGCAAGUCGAACGGAAAGGCCCUGCUUUUGUGGGGUGCUCGAGUGGCGAACGGGUGAGUAACACGUGAGUAACCUGCCCUUGACUUUGGGAUAACUUCAGGAAACUGGGGCUAAUACCGGAUAGGAGCUCCUGCUGCAUGGUGGGGGUUGGAAAGUUUCGGCGGUUGGGGAUGGACUCGCGGCUUAUCAGCUUGUUGGUGGGGUAGUGGCUUACCAAGGCUUUGACGGGUAGCCGGCCUGAGAGGGUGACCGGCCACAUUGGGACUGAGAUACGGCCCAGACUCCUACGGGAGGCAGCAGUGGGGAAUAUUGCACAAUGGGCGGAAGCCUGAUGCAGCAACGCCGCGUGCGGGAUGACGGCCUUCGGGUUGUAAACCGCUUUCGCCUGUGACGAAGCGUGAGUGACGGUAAUGGGUAAAGAAGCACCGGCUAACUACGUGCCAGCAGCCGCGGUGAUACGUAGGGUGCGAGCGUUGUCCGGAUUUAUUGGGCGUAAAGGGCUCGUAGGUGGUUGAUCGCGUCGGAAGUGUAAUCUUGGGGCUUAACCCUAAGCGUGCUUUCGAUACGGGUUGACUUGAGGAAGGUAGGGGAGAAUGGAAUUCCUGGUGGAGCGGUGGAAUGCGCAGAUAUCAGGAGGAACACCAGUGGCGAAGGCGGUUCUCUGGGCCUUUCCUGACGCUGAGGAGCGAAAGCGUGGGGAGCGAACAGGCUUAGAUACCCUGGUAGUCCACGCUGUAAACGGUGGGUACUAGGUGUGGGGUCCAUUCCACGGGUUCCGUGCCGUAGCUAACGCUUUAAGUACCCCGCCUGGGGAGUACGGCCGCAAGGCUAAAACUCAAAGGAAUUGACGGGGCCCCGCACAAGCGGCGGAGCAUGCGGAUUAAUUCGAUGCAACGCGUAGAACCUUACCUGGGUUUGACAUGGAUCGGGAGUGCUCAGAGAUGGGUGUGCCUCUUUUGGGGUCGGUUCACAGGUGGUGCAUGGCUGUCGUCAGCUCGUGUCGUGAGAUGUUGGGUUAAGUCCCGCAACGAGCGCAACCCUUGUUCACUGUUGCCAGCACGUUAUGGUGGGGACUCAGUGGAGACCGCCGGGGUCAACUCGGAGGAAGGUGGGGAUGACGUCAAGUCAUCAUGCCCCUUAUGUCCAGGGCUUCACGCAUGCUACAAUGGCUGGUACAGAGAGUGGCGAGCCUGUGAGGGUGAGCGAAUCUCGGAAAGCCGGUCUCAGUUCGGAUUGGGGUCUGCAACUCGACCUCAUGAAGUCGGAGUCGCUAGUAAUCGCAGAUCAGCAACGCUGCGGUGAAUACGUUCCCGGG
rnacentral:rRNA from 1 species